rnacentral:rRNA from 1 species
UACGAAGGGUGCAAGCGUUGUCCGGAAUUAUUGGGCGUAAAGCGCGUGUAGGCGGCUCGGUAAGUCUGCUGUGAAAGUCCAGGGCUCAACCCUGGAACGCCGGUGGAUACUGUCGAGCUCGAGUCCGGAAGAGGCGAGUGGAAUUCCUGGUGUAGCGGUGAAAUGCGCAGAUAUCAGGAGGAACACCAAUGGCGAAGGCAGCUCGCUGGGACGGUACUGACGCUGAGACGCGAAAGCGUGGGGAGCAAACAGG